UGACCUAAUGUAAAAAAGAGUGUUUGAAGGUUUACACAGGUCCAGGUCUUGCUUUGUUCCCAUCCUUGAUGCUGCACUAACUGACUAAUCACCUACUUAUCAGGCAGGAAACUUGAAUUGCUGUGGUCUGGUGUUCUCUAUUCAGACUUACUAAAUUGGAGUAUUAACGUCCAUAUUUCACUUUUCUAUUGUAUCCUGCCUGCGUAGUUUCCAGUUCUUCCCCAGCCCUCCCAGCAAACCCCCAGUCUAGCCCUAGCCCUUCUCUCCCCACCCAGCUCUGCCCCAGCCCCAGUCCCCUAGUGCCCCAGCCCUAGCCCCAGUCCCAGUCCUAGCCCUUGAGUCCCCCAGUCCUGCCCAGCUUCUCUCGAAAGUCACUCUAAUUUUCAAAAUAAGUCGUCCAUUGUUUAUCCUAUUACACUGGGAUAUUCUGUUUACCCUUGGCAUUGCUGAAUUUCUGUACUGACUCCUUGACCAUUUUCAGUUAAUGCAUACAAUCCCAUUUGUCUGGGGUCUCAGAACAAAGAAUUUCUUUACCCGGUACGUUGAGGUUAGGGAAUAUUAAUUGAGAGCUUUCUAUCAGAGCAUUAUUGCCCAUAAUUUGAAUUACUUAUCGUUUUCUCAAUCCCUUGCCCUUAAAGGAGAAACCAUUUAUCUGUCAUUGCUUCUGUAGUCAUAGUCCCAAUUUUGAGUAGUGGCUUUUUCUCACGUACUGUGUUGCCACCUAAAACUGUGCAGUGAGUAAAAUUCUGAUUACCAGUAAUCCUGCCCAUUGGAUUAGACAGCACUCAACUCCAUUUGCAUUCAGCAGGGGGUCUCAGACAACCCAAGUCUUUUGUUGAACAGUUAAAAUGCUCAGUCACAAUUGUCAUAGCUUUAACUAUUAAACAAAGGCACCCUACUGCGCUUUUUGCUGUGCUUCUGGGGAAUCCUGCAGUUCUUGGAUAAUUAAAGAACCAAGUAGUAAUUGUUAAUUGUCUCACCCAUUAAUCAUAAAGACUUCCAGUCACCUUUGCAUUUGCCUUCAGGCAGUGCUGACUACCUGAGAUUUAACAGUGUCGGAAAUUACUGAGUAAACUCCUAAUUAUCCAUAGUUCUGUUAGUUACACUAUGGCCUUUGCAAACGUCUUUGCACAACAGCAGAGGGACUCAUUCUUAGAGCCCCUUCUCUUGGACUGUUAAUGGAUACAAUAGUAAUUAUUCAUGGUUCUGCCUAACAGAAAAGACCAACUUAUGUAUGCCCUUAACAUUACUCCUAGUUAGUGUGAACUACCUACAGCUUUGCAUUAAUAUGUAAAACACUAAUUGUCCAUGGUCCCAUCCAUUAGUCUAGGUUGUCCCCUUUGCCAUUGCUGCUGAGUUCUGACUACCCAAGUUUCUUUCUCUUAAACAGUUGAUCCCUGGUGGUCUAGUGGUUAGGAUUUGGCGCUCUCACUGCCGUGCCCGGGUUCAAAAAGAAAAGAAAAAAAAAAAAAAACAGUUGAUACAUAUAAUUGCAUAUAUCCAUGGUUCUGUGCAAUAAAAAUGGAUUCCUACCGCAUCCUCUGGGAUGUUGCUAAUGAGAGCAGAUUAUUCAGUAACAGCUCUUGGACAGCUAAUUGCUCAGUUGCAAUUGUCCAGAGUCCUGUCCAUUAGAAAGGGCCGCUGUAUCCUAUUUGCACACUACAAUGUGGGCUGAUCACCCAAGGACUCUUCUUGUGUAUUGAUGUUCAUAAUUGUAUCUAUCCACGACCAUGUGCACUAACCCUUCCACUCCCUUUGUAUUCCAGCAGGGGACCCUUAGUAUACAAGACCUCUGUACGAGGGCAGUUUAUGUGCACAAUCCUAACUGAUUAGAAGUGAGUCUUUUAUAUCAAGGUUCCUGUACCAUCUUUGCUUUACAUCAAGAGGGUCCUGAUUACCUAAUGCCCCUCCUCCAGAAAUUAUUGAUGUGCAAAAUGCAUUUGUCCCUAUCUUGUAUUAGUCUGGGAUCUCAUCCCCUCAUAUUCCUUUUGUCUUACAGCAGGGGGUACUUGAGACUGUUAAUGCGCAUAAUUGCAAUUAUCGUCUCUUCCAUUAAAUUAAGAUCCCAACAGCUCACACCCUCUUGGCAUUAUAGUAGAGGGUGCUAAUCACAAGGACAUUUCUUUUGUACUCAAUGUUCUACGUGGAUUUGUCCUUCUUUCUGUGCACUAAAGACCCCACUCCUUGUGUUCAGCAGUGGAUGACCUCUACUCAAGACCUCUGCACUAGGAUAGUUAAUGUGAACCAUGGCAAUUGCUCACAACAAUGUCUUUCAGAUCAGAUCCAUUGCACCCUCCUUGUUUUACAGCAAGGGGUAUUAAUUACCUAUGUUACAUUUCCCUGGGACUGUGAAUGUGCAAAAUUCCAAUGUUCAUGGUCUCUCCCUUUAAACCAAUAUUCUACCCCUUUUACAUUACAGAAAGGGAUGCUAGCAACCCAAAGUCUUUCUCUUGGGACUCUUAAUGUGUAUAUUUCUAAUUGUCCAUGACUCUUCAUGUCCAUGCUUUCAAUUGUCUAUGGUCCCUCCCAAUAAGCUAAUGUCUUAACUUCUCAGUAUCGUACCAGGGGUUACUGUUUGCCUAAAGCCUUUUUUGAACUUUUAAUGUGCAAAAUUGCCCUGAGGCCGGGUGUGGUGGCUCACAGCCGUAAUCCCUGCACUUUGGGAGGCUGAGGUGGGAGGAUGCCCUAAGGCCAGAAGUUUGAGACCAGCCUGGCCAACAUAUAAAGAAAAAAAGCAAAACAAUUGCUCAGGAAUUCCAUCCCCCUCCCACCUCCUUGGCAAAGCAGCAGGAGUGCUAACUAGCUAGUGCUGCUUCUCCUAUACUGCUUAAAUGCACAUAAUUAACAAUAGUUGAUGUGCCCCAGUGUUAGAGUAGAAUCCUGGGUCCUUGCUCCAUUUGCAUUACUGCAGGAGCUUCUAAAUAGCCUGAAUUCACUCUCGUACUGUUAAUGUGCAUACUUAUAUUUGCUCUUAUACCUUUUUACCAAGUAAGGACACCACCCACUCUAUUUACAUUCCAGCAGGAAGUACCUACUACUUAAGAUCCUUAGAUUAGUAAAGUUAGCAUGCAUAAUCUUAGUUGUUGCAUGCACAUUUUCAGUUGUCUACAGCUGUGCCUUUUAUCAGGACUCCUGUACUUAUCAAAGCAGAGAGUGGUAACCAACAUUAAGCCCUUCUCUUCAGACUGUAGAUGCAUAUAAUUGCAGUUGUCAAUGGUCCUUCGAUUAGACUUGGGUUUCUGACCUUUCACACCCUCUUUGCUUUACUGCAUGGGGUACUAUUACUUAAGGCCCCUUUCUCAAACUGUUAAUGUGCCUAAUGACAAUUACUUUAGGAUCCUUCCUUUUGACACUCCUUUUGAAGGACAGCAUGGUUGGUGACACCUAAAGCCCCAUUUCUUGGCCUCCAAUAUGUAUGAUUGUAUUUGUCCAGGUUGUUAUGCACUAGAGAAGGAAAGUCCUCCCCUCAUCCCCAUUUUCAUUCUAGCAGGAAGUGCCCACCCAUAAGACCCUUUUAUUUGGAAAGUCUAGGUGCACAAUUGUAAGUGACCACAAACAUGCCUCUUGGACAUUAAUGUGUGUAAUUGUGCACUGCUCAUUCCAUGUGAAAUAGGUCCUACUCUCAGACCACUUUUGCAGUACAGAAGGGGUGCUAAUAACCAAGUCCCCUUUUCUUGGCCUGUUAUGUGUGAUUAUAAUUGUCUGGGUUCCUAUGCACUAGAAAAGGAGGGUCCUCUCCACAUAUCUCAGCAGGGAGUGCCCACUCCCUAAGACCCUCACAUUCGGACAGUCAAGGUGCAUGAUUGUUAAGUGAAUACAACCAUGCACUUUAGACAUGGAUGGACAUAACUACACACAGCUCAUCACAGCUGAAUAAAAUCCUACUUUCAGACCCCUUUUGCAGUACAGCAGGGGUGCUGAUCACCAUGGCCCCAUUUCCUGGCCUGGUAUGUGUGUGAUUAUAUUUGUCCCGGUUUCUGUGUAUUAGAUGUGGAAACCUCCCUUGCCACACCCCACCCCCAAUCUCUCUUUCCCUUCUAGCAGGGAAUGCCUGCUCCGUAAGACCCUUACAUUUGGACAGUUAAGGUGCACAAUUAUAAGUGACCACAACCAUGCACCUUGGACAAUUAAUGUGCGUAACUGCACACGGCCCAUCUCAUCUGAAUAAGGUCCUACUCUCAGACUCCUUUUGCGGUACAGCAGGGGUGCUGAUCACCAAGGCCCUUUUUCCUGGCUUGAUAUGUGUGGGAUUAUAUUUGUCCUGGUUCCUGUGUAAUAGACAUGGAAGCCUCCCCUGCCAUACCCUACCCACAAUCUUCCUUUCCCUUCCAGCAGGGAGUACCUGCUCCAUAAGACCCUUACGUUUUGACAAUCAAGAUGCACAAUCGUGAAGUGACUACAGGCAUGCACCUUGGACAUUGAUGUGCGUGACUGCACACGGCCCAUCCCAUCUGAAUACGGUCCUGUUCUCAGACCCCUUUUGCAGUACAGCAGGGGUGCUGGUCACCAAGGCCCCUUUUCCUGGCCUGUUAUGUGUGUUGAUUAUAUUUAUCUCAGUUCCUGUGUAAUAGACAUGGAAGCCUCCCCUGCCACACCCCAUUCCCAGUCUUCCUUUCCCUUCCAGCAGGGAGUGCCCAUUCUGUAAGACCCUUACAUUUGGACAGUCAAGGUGCACAAUUGUAAAUGACCACAGGCAUGCACCUUGGACAUUAAUGUGCAUAACUGCACACGACCCAUUCCAUGUAAAUAAGGUCCUACUCUCAGACCCCUUUUGCAGUACAGCAGGGGUGCUGAUCACCAAGGCCUCUUUCCCUGCCCUAUUAUAUGCGUGAUUGUAUUUGUCUGGGUUCCUGUAUAUUAGAAAAGGAAGCUUUUCCUGCCCCACCCCCACUCCCAGUCUUCCUUUCCUCUGCAGCAGGGAGUGCCCACUCCAUAAGACCCUUACAUUUGGACAAUCAAGGUGCACAAUUGUAAGUGACCACAGCCAUGCACCUUGGACAUUGAUGUGCAUAACUGCACAUGGCCCAUCCCAUCUGAAUAAAGUCCUACUCUUAGACCCCUUUUGUGGUACAGCAAGGCUGCUGAACACCAAGGCCCUUUUGUCUGGCCUGAUAUGUGUGUGAUUAUAUUUGUCCCGGUGCUUGUGUAAUAGACACGGAAGCCUCCCCUGCCACACCCUAACCACAAUCUUCCUUUCCCUUCCAGCAGGGAGUGCCCGCUCCGUAAGACCCUUAACAUUUGGACAAUCAAGGUGCACAAUUAUAAGUGACCACAGACACGCACCUUGGACAUUGAUGUGUGUAACUGCACAUGACCCAUCCCAUCUGAAUAAGGUCCUAUCCUCAGACACCUUUUGCGGUACAGCAGGGGUGCUGGUCACCAAGGCUCUUUUUCCUGGCCUGGUAUGUGUGUGAUUAUAUUUGUCCCGGUUCCUGUGUAAUAGACAUGGAAGCCUCCCCUGCCACACCCCACCCGCAAUCUUCCUUUCCCUUCCAGCAGGGAGUGCCCGCUCCAUAAGACCCUUACAUUUGGACAGUCAAGGUGCACAAUUGUAAGUGACCACAGGCACGCACCUUGGAAUUGAUGUGCGUAACUGCGCACGGCCCAUCCCAUCUGAAUAAGGUCCUGUUCUCAGACCCCUUUUGCAGUACAGCAGGGGUGCUGAUCAACAUGGCCCCUUUUCCUGGCCUGUUAUGUAUGUGAUUAUAUUUCUCCGGGUUCCUGUGUAAUAGACAUGGAAACCUCCCCUGCCACACCUCACCCACAGUCUUCCUUUCCUUUCCGGCAGGAAGUGCCUGCUCCAUAAGACUUAUGUUUGGACAUUCAAGGUGCACAAUUGUAAAUGACCACAGGCACGCACCUUGGACAUUGAGGUGCAUAACUGCACAUGGCCCAUCCUAUCUGAAUAAGGUCCUACUCUCAGACUCCUUUUGCAGUACAGCAGGGGUGCUGAUUACCAAGGCCCAUUUUCCUGGCCUGUUAUAUGUGGGAUUAUAUUUAUCCAGGUUUCUGUGUACCAGACAACGAAGCCUCCUCUGCCCCACCGCACCUACCUGCAGUCUUUUCCUCCCAGCAGGGAGUGCUCUACAAGACCCUUACAUUUGGACAAUAAGGUGCACAAUUGUAAGUGACCACAGGCACGCACCUUGGAAACUGAUGUGCAUAACUGCACACAGCUUAUCUUAUUUGAAUAAGGUCCUACUCGUAGACUCCUUUUGCAGUAUAGUUGGGGUGCUGAUCACUAAGGCUCUUUUCUUGGCUUGUCCAUAUUCCUGCCUACUAGAUAAGGACACCUUCUCAUACACUCUCUGCUUUUCAACAGGGAGUACUCACUGCUUCAAGAUUCUUACAUUUUUCCAAAGUACAUGGUUUUAAUUGACCACAGCAAUGUCCCUUGGACAUUAAUGUACAUAAGCACCACAAGGUUCAUCCUAAUUAAACAAAGUCUUACCCUCUCACCCUCCACUUGCAGUUUACCAGGGUUGCUGACCCCUAAGUCCCCUUUUCUUGACUUGUUGAUAUGCAUAAUUGCAUUUAUGUGGGUUCUUGUACCCCAGAUAAGGAUGUUCCACCUCUUUUCAAUACUGGGUGCCAACUCCUUAUGAUAAUUACAUUUGGACAGUUAAUGUGAAUGAUUGCAGCUGUCCGUAACCCUAUCACUUCUUGGACAAUUGUACCCCCUUUGGAUUACUUGGGGCAUACCACUUUCCUCCAAGGCCCCUUUUGGUGAACUAUUAAUAUACAUAAUUGAAAUUUUCGUUUCUCUUUGUCAGUAGAUUAAGGUCAUACCCCCUCACCUGUCCUUUGUAGUACAGCAGGAUGUCCUGAUCAACCAAACUCCUGUUGUUGUGGACUGUUAAUACAUGCAAUUACAUUUGCUUGUGGUCUGUGCACUAGAUAAGGAUCCUACCUACUUUCUUAGCAUUUUUAGCAGGUAGUCCCCACUUUUCAAGACUCUUUCACUUGGAAUGUUCAUGUGCACAAACACAAUUUUCUAAGCAUGUUCCUGUACCUUCUUUGCUUUUAGAGCAAAGUGUAAUAGACAUGGAAGCAUCCCCUGCCACACCCCACCCACAAUCUUCCUUUCCCCUCUGGCAGGGAGUGUCCGCUCCAUAAGACCCUUACAUUUGGACAAUCAAAGUGCACAAUUGUAAGUGAUGGGGAUGCUAUUCACUUAAUGCCCCUUGUUUUGGACUUAAUAUGCAUUAAUGCAAUUGUCUGCCUCUUCUUUUAGACUAAGACUUGAUUUCCACAUACUUCUCUUCCAUCAGGGGCAUGUUAACUAUGAAUGGACCCUUUUCUUUUUAAUAUUAAUGUCAUAAUUCUAUUUGUGGACCUGUGUAGUAGAAAAAGACCCUGUGUUCCUACCACUAUGCUUUGGAUUGCUACUGAGGAGUGCUAACUACUCAUAAUCUCAGCUCUUGGACAAUUAACAUGCAAUAAUAACAAUUAUCAAGGGUACUGAUUAUUAGAUAAGAUUCCUCGAUCUUUUUUGCAUACAUCGGGGAUACUGACCCACUAAGGUCCCUUGUACUAUUAAUGUGCAUAUUUGUAAUUACACAUGUUUCCUUCUGUUAGAGUGGGAUAUUAUGCCCUUGUACCCUCUUUGUAUUACUGCAGGGGCUGCUGACUACUCAAAACUUCUCCUGGGACUGUUAAUAGGUACAAUGGCAGUUAUCAAUGGUUUUUCCCCUCCCUGACCUUGUUAAGCAAGCACCCCACCCCACCCUACCCUCAGUUCCCAUGGCAUAAUAAAGUAUAAACAUUGCAGUAUUCCAUGCACUUGUCCCUCAAACAGUGGUCCAUACUCCCGCCCCAUUUGCAUUGCUCCAGUGUGUAAAAUCACAGGUAGCCAUGGUGUCACGCUUUACAUCCUCGCCCUGCCCCUUGUGUGCCCUUGGCCCCUUUUUACAGACUAUUGUUCACAAUCUCAGGUGUCCAUAUAUUCAGCUAUUAGAUAAGAUUAUGUUCUCUCCCUUCUCCCUUCCCCCUACCGUGCCCCUUUUGCCUCUUUGCUGGGUAAUGUUGACUGGACAAGGCCUUUUCUCUUAGACUUAAAAAAUUAUCAGUGGCACUUUCCUUGGUCCCACCCAUUAUACAUGAACCCCUCUACUUUCUUUCGCAUUGCUUCUGAGUAGCGCUGACUACCCAAAGCCCCUUCUGGGUUAUUAAUGAACACAGUACCGAUUGUCCCAUUUUUCAGCACAUCAGUCCAAGAGCUCCCUACCACUUUGGUGUGUUUGUGCAGUGUUGACUAUGAAAAGCAGGCCUGAACUAAGUGGAUAAGCCUUCACUCUUUUUCUUUCAUUUAUUAAUGAUCCCAGUUUCAAUUAUUAUCAGAUUCUGAGGACAAGAACCAUUCUUGCCCACCUCUGUUACUGCUUUACUGUGCAGAGUACUCAAAGCAAGUCAGACCCAGGAAGCUGGAUUGCCAUCUUCUAUUUUGUGUUUCUAGUGCACACUAUCAAAUUGCCUCCCCAAGAAGGAAGGUUGGCACUUCCUCUGCAUUCUUCUUUCCAGAGAAGAUUGCCUGGUUAAAGAAUCUCUUGUCAUCUCUUUUGUAUAUUGUUAUUGUAAAGUGCCAAAUGCCAGGAUACAGCCAGAAAAAUUGCUGUUGUGAUUAUUUAAAAAAAAAAUUUAAGAAAGACAUCUGGAUUGUAAUGUGGACUCAAUAACCUGGUCAUUAUUUUUUGAAGCCAAAAAUCCAUUUAUACUAUGUACUGUAUGACCAGUGUCAUUUUAACUGAGGGUGGUGAGUCUGUGGAUAGACCACUGUGACUCUUGCUAUUUUAAUAUUAUCAAAGGCUUUCUAGAGUGAAACUCUUAAGACCAGCAUCUUUGUGUGGGCUUUACCAGCAUUCACUUUUAGAACUACCUACAUUUUAUAAUCCUUUAAUUUCUUCACCUGGAGCACCUCCCCCUACUUAUUUCGAGAAGAUUGAAGUAAAACGAUUAAAUAAGAAAACGUAUGCAGAGGUGCUUUUAAAAGAAGAUGCCACCUUUUUGAUUAAUCUAUUAUGUAAAAUGAAGAAUCUAAUUAUACUAAAAAUUUGAAGUAGUUUGAAGUAUCACACUGAAGGUGAGGACUUAAAAAUGAUGGAACCAGUUCCCUAUUUCAUAAAAAAAAUAAGCCAAAAUUAAAUACUAUAUUGUAUAUAAAUUUCAAAAGUGAGACAGCUGCCUAAUAGAAAUGAAUAAUAUCCCAGCCACUAGUGUACAGGGUGUUUUGUGGCAAAGGAGUAUGUAAUAUGGAACUGCUCAAGCAAAUUAGUCCUCACAACAGUAGUUCUUUGUAAUAACUGAAAAAGAAUACUGUUUCUCUGAGAAGGAUGUCAAAAGAUCGACCCAGCUCAGGGAGCAGUUUGCUCUACUAGCUCCUCGGACAGCUGUAAGAAGAGUCUCUGGCUCUUUAGAAUACUGAUUCCAUUGAAGAUACCACGUUGCAUGUGUCCUUAGUAGUCAUGCCCCCUUUGGCUCUCUUGGACAUUCUGAGUAUGUGAGACCUGAAGACUGCAAACAUCUUUAAGAGGCUCCAAAUUCAGCAGAUCUUUCCCUUUGAGAAUCUGGCCAAGCUCCAGCUAAUCUACCUGGAUGGGUUGCCGACCACCUGGAGAAAAAGAUCUUCCUCAGAAGAAUAGGCUUGUUGCUUUAUACAGUGUUAGUGACCCAUUCCCUUUGACGAUCCCUAGGUGGAGAUGGGGCAUGAGGAUCCUCCAGGGGAAAAGCUCACUACCACUGGGCAACAACCCUAGGUCAUGAGGUUCUGUCAAGAUACUUUCCUGGUCCCAGAUAGGAAGAUAAAGUCUCAAAGACAACCACCACAUGUCAAGGAGAACAUGGACAACUGUCACAUCAGUGACACUGAUCACAUGGGCAAAUCAUUCUGUUCCAUCUGGUCUCCAAAGUCUCUCUUAAAGCCUUACAGAAAAACUUUGCUGGUCAUUUACAUACUUCAAGAUGGCCUGGGAUGCCAUGGGUUACAACACAACAAGUGAGAGCUCUUCAUCGUUCCUAUUUGCCAAAUCAUUAUCCUUCCUACAAGCAGUGCAGAGAGCUGGGUCUUCAACAGGUCCAAGAAACUUGAACAUGCUGAAAGAAGUCAGCCUUCUUACCUGAAGAUCAACACACAUGCCUGGCACUCGAGCACUUAAGGAUAGUGGAAUGAAGUAAGUUUUUGGUGUUGCAUUCCUGUGAGGAUCACUUCAGAACUGUUAAAACAGCUGUUUUUUGGGAGCCAGUGUUGGAUAGGUGUCUUGUCUCUUCUGCUGCUUACUACCUCUGAAUGCCUGCAUUUGCUUAUCUCUUGCACUCGUGUGUAUUUCUUUAUCUUUGUUCUUUCUUCUCUUUCUUCUUUGUCUCUCUAUAUUUCUUCCUUGUCUUUGUUGUUUGUUCUCUAUCUAAAGUGUGUUUUACCCAUUUCCGUGUUUUUUCUUGCUAAUUUCUUUCAUGUGUGCCUUUGCCUCAUUUUCUCUUGUUCACAAAGAGUGGUCUGUGCCUUGUCUUAGACAUAAGUCUCGUUUUUCAUUUUGUUGCUGUUUCUCUUUGUUUUCCUAGAUGUGGCUGUUCUUUCACGCUUUAUUUCAUGUCUCCUUUUGGGUCACAUGCUUUGUGCUUUUUGUCCGUUUCUUGUUCUGCCAACCUCUCCUUUCUCUGCCUACCUCUUUUUUCUCUUCAUGAACUGUGACUAUUUGUUAUCCCUUCCCCUUAUUUGUUGUAAAUUUCACCUUUUUCUGAGUCUGGCCUCCUUUCUGCUGUUUCUACUUUUUAAUCUCACAUUUCUUAUUUCUGCAUUUCCUUUCUGCCUCUCUUGGGCUAUUUUAUCUCUUUCCUCCCCUGUGUUCCUCCGUGUCUCUUGCUGUUUGUGAUUUUCUAUUUCAGUAUUAAUCUCUGUUUGCUUGUGUUUCUUCUCUGCUUCUUCCCUUUCUACUCACCUUUGAGUAUUUCAGCCUCAUCAUGAGUCUGUCUCCCUCUCUUUGAUUUCAUGUAUUCUUUUCUCCUUAAAUAUUUCUUUGCAUAUGUGGGCAUGUGUACAUGUGUGUGUGUCAUGUGUGGCAGAGGGGCUUCCUAACCCCUGCCUGAUAGGUACAGAACAUUGGCUAUCAGAAGUAAGCAUUAUGGAGUGGUUCCAUAUGCCAGGCUGCCGUGUGAGAUGAUCCAAGACCAAAACAAGGCCAUAGAAUCUAGACUGCAGUAAAACCCAAUACUCAAGUAGGACAGAAGGUGAAAGGCUCAUAUGGAUAGAAGGCCCAAAGUAGAAGACAGAUGGUUUGAAACUUGAGACUCAGACUAAGAUGGAAAGCCCAUGUUCCAAGAUAGAUAGAAGCCUCUGUCCUGAAACCAACAAAAGCCUCAAGAACCAAGGAAACAGAGGGUGGCCUGGAUCGGACAGAAGGCCUGAGUUGGAUGGAAUGUUCAAGUCUUGAGUUAGAAGGCUUAAGACCUGGAAUAUGACACGUACGUGGAAGGCCUGAGACUGUGACACAAGGCCGAAGACCUAAGAUUAGCCCCAGGUUGUAGGUGGAAGACCUACAACCCAAGGAUGGAAGGUUCCUGACACAAAGCCUACCUAGAUGGAUAGAGGACCCAAGUGAAACAGAUAUCUCAAGACUAAAGGCCAGAAUCUGGAGGCCCAUGACCCAGAACCAAGGAAGAAUAGAAGCUUGAAGACCCGGGGAAAUCCCAAGAUGAGAACCCUAAACACCACCUCUUUUCUAUUGUUAUACUUCUUACUCUUAGAUAUUUCCAGUUCUCCUGUUUCUCUUUAAGCUUGAUUCUUUUGAGAUGUACUUUUUGAUAUUGCCAGUUACCUUAAAGGAACAUAUCUUUAGGUUGACAGUAUUAUGCUUGGGCCAGUCUGGAGCCAGUUUUAAAUCACAGUUUUUACCUCUUUGUUAGGCUUUAGUGUUUUGUAAACUUCUGUUUCUAUUCACAUCUACUCCACUUGAGAGAGAUACCAAAAUCGAGUCAGUAUCUAAUCUGGCUUUUGUUAUUCCCCUCAGGAGCAAGCAUUCAUAUAGGUGAUAUUAUAUUUCAGUCUUCCCUUUUAAUCUCAGAAGCCCUAGACUGAUGAGAAGAUAAAAUGGUCAGGUUGUUGGGGAAAAAAUGUGCCAGGCUCUCUAGAGAAAAAUGUGAAGAGAUGCUCCAGGUCAAUGAGAAGAAUUAGACAAGAAAUACACAGAUGUGCCAGACUUCUGAGAAGCACGUGCCAGCAACCGCUUCCUUCUUUGAGCUUAGGUGAGCAGGAUUCCUGGGAUGUGGGAUUUCUAGUGAUGGUUAUGGAAACGGUGACUGGACCUGGGACAAAGUGAGGUCCCAAAGAGACAGCCUGAACUCCCUGCUCAUAGUAGUGGCCAAAUAAUUUGGUGGACUGUGCCAACCCUACUCCUGGGUUUAAUACCCAUCUCUAGACUUAAAGAUGAGAAAACCUCGGACUAUUUAGCACAUUUAAUACUUUCCUUGAUUUUUUUCUUCCCAUUUAUGUGGGAAGUUGAUUUAAAUGACUGAUAAUGUAUAUGAAAGCACUGUAAAACAGAGAAAAAACAAGGCGUGCUCCUUAAUAGUGUAUUGGGAAUCAUGCACAGUUAACAUUUGAAAGUGCAGUGUAAGUUGUGAAGCAUUAUGUAAAUCAGGGGUCCUCAGUUUUUCUGUAAGUGGUCAAAUCAUAAAUACUUUAGACUGUGGGCCAUAUGGUUUCUGUUACAUAUUCUUUUUUUAAACAACCUUUUCAUAAGGUCAAAAUCAUUCUUAGCUUUUGAGCCAGUUGGAUUUGGCCUGCUGUUCAUAGCUUACCCACCCCCUGAUGUAUUAUUUGUUUUAUUCAGAGAAAAUGUCUGACUACUACUGAUUUCCUUUUCUAUGUCUGUCCUGUGCUAGGCACUAAAAAUGCAGUGAUUUGUGAUCACAUCCAGGUGACCUGAAGAAAAAUAGUGAAUGUGCUUUGUAAACUAUAAAGCACUUGUAUUCUAUUGUGAUAAUCAUUGUGGAUACAAAGAAAGGAGAAAGCAAGAAAAAGUGCUCUUUCAAAAAGAUCUAGUGCUAUGCAGAUGCUAGAAUUAAGUGUUUGAUAAAUGAAUAAAUUGUAUGUAUUUUGAGGCUAAUUUGUUUCUGCUGCUCUGGUGAUUUUGACUAAAAAUGCAGUAUUCCAGGUAUCAGAAAUGAAAACACAUGGAAGCUGCUUUUAAACUUUAAAAUAUACUGAAAACAAGGGACUAAGCUUAUUGUGGUCACCUAUAGUGUGCCAGAUACCAUUCUGGGCACUAGAGAUCACAAAGGGGAAAAAAUGUUCUCAUAGAGCAAAAAGUUUCAGAAAGGUGCAUAUUAAAGUCCUUUGUAAACUAAAGCACAAUACAAAUGUCAGUAGGCUACAUAUUUAUGAAUGAAUGAAUAUUAACUGCCUCUUACAUACCAGCUAUUGUUUUGGGUUCUGUGAAAUACAAGAUUAAUUCUCCUAUGUAAUAGGAGGAAAAUUUAUCCUCUAUACUAUUUCGAUGUAAGGAAUGAGAUACUGCUUAAACAGUGAAGACUUUAGUGGUGAGGUCAAGUUAAAUUAUUACUGGUAUAUUUUCCCAGGUCACCCGGGAGGAGAUAGAAUGAGGAAAUGAAGCAAUAGAUAUGAGAUCCAGACCAAAAGUCUUCUGUAAGAUAGGUAUUGUCUCUACAAAAUUCUCAUUGUAUACUUAAACCACAAUGAGAAGGGUUCUAUAAGUAGUUAUACAAAUUAAGGGUUUAAAUACCUGUUAAACGGAUCAAUUUUCAUUGCCUACUAUGUUAACUCACUGUUAAAGGCACUGAAAAUUUAUCAUAUUUCAUUUACCCACAGCCAAAAAUAAGGCAAUACCUAUGUUAGCAUUUUGUGAACUCUUAAGACACCAUAUAAAUGUAACUAUUGAUUUUCUCACUUGGUGCUGAGUACCAGGUUUAUAAAAUUGUAUGAUAGUUGUUACAUUGUGCAAAUAAAGCAGGAAAUUUUGAGUAACAAUGAUUAACUUUUAAAUAUUCAUAUGCAAGGGGUUGUCUGAAGUAUAGUAGUUAACGAUUGUGUGCCAAUCUCAUUGCUAGGCAAUGGGGAAUGCAAAGAUAAACCAUCUUUAUUGUGUUCUGGGUAGCAGAAGAAAAUAUGUGUAAAAUCAAUUUAUAAUUUCUAAACUGCCACCCAUAUAUAAGCAAUAUCUGCUGAGUGAUCAUUGACCAGUCUUAUUCUUAGAGAUAAGAACUGGGGCACAAAAAUUGAUUAUCAUUAUUGAACGUACAACAGAAACUUACGUGUAAAUUUACAAAGUCUACAGUUCUAUACAGAUAGGAAUGAACUACUGGUUUACUGAAUGGUGAUUACUUUCUGUGGGGCUCAGAACUACAUGUUCUAGGAUAUAAAAAUGAUAUUAUCAUUAUGGAGUGCUCACAGAAGGAAAUGAAGUAAUUAAUAGGUGUGAGAUCCAGACCAAAAGUCACUUAACAGGCUUAUUUAGUGAUGAAAACAUGGGAUAAAUGGACUUGUAUAAGGCAGCGUACUAAGCUAAGUAGAGAAAUAAAGUCCUGUCCAGAAGGAUACAUGCUCCCUGGCCUGACUGAAGAGAUGGAAAUUUUUUGCAAAAAGCAAGAUAUUGUCGUCUUCCAUCCAGUUUCUUAAAUGCUGGUGAUGGAAAUGAAUUAGACCCACCUUGGCCUGUCUUACAGGCAGUAAAGGAGUAAAAAUAAAGGCCUCAGGUUUGCUUUUUUAUUUAUUUGAUUAAAAAAAGCACCUUUUAUGUGGAAUAUACCAUUCUGGGUCCUGAGGAUAAGAGAUCACUGACAGCUGAAGAUAGAAAAUAUAUCUUUGGUUUGAUUGUGUAAAUAAUAUUUCAGUGCCUAGUCUCUGCAAGGCAUUAUGCUUGGUAAAUUAGCAAAUUAAAUAGGUCUGGCCCAGAAGACCCAUUCAAUUGCCUUUGAGAUUAAAAAAAAAAAAGAAAAAGGCAAAUUUCUUUCAAAAUAAAGAGACAUUUUUCUUAGUUUCAGGAAUCCCUCAAAUCACUUGCUCAUUGGCUUAGUUUGAAGCCAGGAAACUGAUAAAAGGGCUCAGGGUUUGUUAAUGUUUAAUUCAUUAAUUAAACAUUCUGUUCUUAUUACAGUUAAAUGGUUCAAGAUUAAACAACUAGUUUUAAAGGUAUUUGCUCAUUGACCUGGCUUAGAGACAGGAAGACAUUUGAGCAACAAAAAAGAUUUUUUUACAUUUACCAUAUUUAGUAAAAAUUUAUUAAAACUGAAUAAAAUGCUGUUCUUAAGUGCUUUAAAGACCCAAACCAAAAUGCACUUUAUCUCAUCUUAUGGUGGAAACAUAAGAACAAAUUCUAUAAGAGAUUGUGUUUCUUUCUUUAUUUGAGAAAAAACUUCAUUGAGUGGCUGUGGUAUGUUCGAUGCUAAGGAAAAAUUAAACAGACUCUUUGGCAUGCUCUGUAGAGUCGGAAUAAGAGGGCUUUUUAUUUUUUCAUUCAUAUGAAUAUUGAUAAAGAUGAUAUUAAAUGCUAAAUGAAAUAUAUCUGCUCCAAAAGGUAUUUAUUCUGACUCGGAGAUGCAAGAAAAGCACAAGUGAUACUCUACAUCAAACAGAAGUCACUGUUACGUCAACCACUGUGUUAAAUCCUAGACAGAAAACAAAAAAGAUCAUGACCAAAAGACAUUUGCUUAUUAAUUGGCUUGGAGACUAGAAUAUAGGAGAAAGGUUAGUUUAUUAUUAGUUUUAAUUUAUUCAUUCAUUCUACAAAUAUAUUUGUGUGCCAAUAGUACUUGGUAUAAGGUUUUUGAUAGGUUCUUAUUUGGCCCCAGAGACAUGGGGAAAAAAAAAUGCAUGUUCCCAGAGAACGCCUGGUGCUUUCCUUUUGGCCUGCUUUCUUGUUAGGGGCAUGGCUUAGUCCCUAAAUAACAUUAUGUUGUUUAAUUCCUACUCCAUAUCUCUUCUACCACUCUGGCCACUACAAUAAGCAGGUAGCUGGGUUUUUGUAGUGAGCUUGCUCCUUAAGAUGCAGGAACUCUCCUUAUAAGACAGUUGAUUUUCCUAGCCCAUCCCUCAUGAAAAAUGACUGACCACUGCUGGGCAGAAGGAGGGAUGAUGACCAACUAAUUCCCAAACCCCAGUCCCGUUGGUACCAGCCUUGGGGAACCCACCUAUACUUGAGGCACAGUUGGUUUUUGAAGUGCAUUUACAAGAUUUGUCUGUCUUCAGUUUUUUACUUUUUACGUGCUGACACAUACAUACACUGCCUAGAUACAUCUCUUUCAGAAAUAGUCUUCAGAUAACACAUAGCAGAAUGGAGAUGGAGACAUGAUUUCUCUUGCAACAGCUUCUCAACUUAUAUCUUAGAAAUGUUCUCCUUUUUAGUGAUUAAAUUUGCUCAAGAAGGGCAUUUUAUAGUAGAAUAAUAUCUGGAUGAAAACAGCUUAACAUUUUACCAUGCUUAAGUUUUAAGAAUAAAAUAAAAAUUGGAAAUAAUUGGCCAAAAUUGAAAGGAAAAUUUUUUUUAAAAGUUCUCUAAAUGUAGGCCUGACUGGGCUUUGACCUUUUCCAUUUUUAAAUCACUCACAGAGGGUGGGACAGGAGGAAGAGUGAAGGAAAAGGUCAAACCUAUUUCUAAGGGCAGCCUUCCUUUGUUCUGAAUUGGCCUUAAGAACAUUAGCUGCUCAAGGUCUAAAUUGUUUCAUGCAGUUCCAAUAACUGAUAAUUGUUGAGAUGAGAACAACAUUCUUGGUCCUCACUAGUUUGCUUCACAUUUUUGAAAAGUAAUUAUUUUUGUCCAGUUGCUUAUCAAAUAAACCUUGUGUUAGAUAAGAAUGGAAUGUAUUAAGUGAAUCAGUGUGACCCCUCUACUGUAAAAUUGUCUUAAAGCUGAAGCCAAAAUUGCUUCAAAGGAAGACUUUAUUGUUCAUUGUAUUUCAUACAUACUUUCAAAGCAUCUAAACUGUAGUUUUCCAUGGCAAGCCAAUUACAUCCAUAAGUGGAGAAGGAAAUUGAUAAAUGUCAAAGUAUGAUUGGUGGAGGGAGCAAGGUUGAAGAGAAUCUGGGCUUGAAAUUUUCUAGUUUCCAUUCUAUACAUUUUUAGACAUCAGAUUUGAAAUAUUAAUGUUUGUCUUUUAAUGUGUGGUAUCAGCUGGACUCAGUAACAUCUCUUUCUUCAGGUGGGGAUGGGGAAUGCAUUAUUGGAAAAUGGAAAGAAGAAAGUAACUAAAAAGCCUUCCUUUCACAGUUUCUGGCAUCACUACCACUACUGAUUAAACAAGAAUAAGAACAUUUUAUCAUCAUGUACUUUAUUCACAUAAAUGAAGUUGUGAUAAAUAAAUAUGCUUUUAUGCAGACACAAGGAAUUAAGUGGCUUCAUCACUGCCCUUCAACCUCAAAGAGAAUUUAUUCCAGAAUGCUAAGAUAAAUGGAAAUGGAAGACUCUUGAAUUUGUGAACUGAUAUGAAAUGCAGAAUCUCUUUUGAAUCUUUGCAGUUUUGAAGACUGAAAAACAUUGUUCAGCAUGUGUGACCACCAAAAAGCAAUCUUAAGCCAUCUAGAUGUCAAAACCGAAGCAAACUGGGGAGUUGGUUGCUAUUGUAAAAUAAAAUAUACUGUUUUGAAAACUUG